UGACGGACGGGUGAGUAAUGUCUGGGAAACUGCCCGAUGGAGGGGGAUAACUACUGGAAACGGUAGCUAAUACCGCAUAACGUCGCAAGACCAAAGAGGGGGACCUUAGGGCCUCUUGCCAUCGGAUGUGCCCAGAUGGGAUUAGCUAGUAGGUGGGGUAACGGCUCACCUAGGCGACGAUCCCUAGCUGGUCUGAGAGGAUGACCAGCCACACUGGGACUGAGACACGGCCCAG
rnacentral:rRNA from 1 species